rnacentral:rRNA from 1 species
UCCGUAGGCGGUGUGGCAAGUCGGUAGUGAAGUCUCUCGGCUUAACUGAGAGGCUGCUGCCGAAACUGCCAUGCUCGAGUGCGAGAGAGGCGAGUGGAAUUGCGGGUGUAGCGGUGAAAUGCGUAGAUAUCCGCAGGAACAUCCGAGGCGAAAGCGGCUCGCUGGAUCGCAACUGACGCUGAGGGACGAAAGCUAGGGGAGCAAACAGGAUUAGAUACCCUGGUAGUCCUAGCCCUAAACCAUCAGGACUUGGGGUUUGCCCUGUACGGGGCAAGUCCCGGAGCUAACGCGUUAAGUCCUGCGCCUGGGGAGUACGGUCGCAAGGCUGAA